rnacentral:rRNA from 1 species
CGCGAAUUCGCCCUUAGAGUUUGAUCCUGGCUCAGGAUGAACGCUGGCGGCGUGCCUAACACAUGCAAGUCGAACGGAGUUCUUAAGGAAUGCGACUUCGGUCAAAUGACUUUUGAACUUAGUGGCGGACGGGUGAGUAACGCGUGAGCAACCUGCCUUUCAGAGGGGGAUAACAUUUGGAAACAGAUGCUAAUACCGCAUAAGAUUACAGUACCGCAUGAUACAGUGAUCAAAGGAGCAAUCCGCUGAAAGAUGGGCUCGCGUCCGAUUAGAUAGUUGGUGAGGUAACGGCUCACCAAGUCGACGAUCGGUAGCCGGACUGAGAGGUUGAACGGCCACAUUGGGACUGAGACACGGCCCAGACUCCUACGGGAGGCAGCAGUGGGGAAUAUUGCACAAUGGGCGAAAGCCUGAUGCAGCAACGCCGCGUGAGGGAAGACGGUUUUCGGAUUGUAAACCUCUGUUUUCGGUGACGAACAAAUGACGGUAACCGAGUAGGAAGCCACGGCUAACUACGUGCCAGCAGCCGCGGUAAUACGUAGGUGGCAAGCGUUAUCCGGAAUUACUGGGUGUAAAGGGAGCGCAGGCGGGAUAGCAAGUCAGCUGUGAAAACUAUGGGCUCAACCCAUAAACUGCAGUUGAAACUGUUAUUCUUGAGUGGAGUAGAGGCAAGCGGAAUUCCGAGUGUAGCGGUGAAAUGCGUAGAUAUUCGGAGGAACACCAGUGGCGAAGGCGGCUUGCUGGGCUCUAACUGACGCUGAGGCUCGAAAGUGUGGGGAGCAAACAGGAUUAGAUACCCUGGUAGUCCACACUGUAAACGAUGAUUGCUAGGUGUGGGGGGUCUGACCCCCUCCGUGCCGGAGUUAACGCAAUAAGCAAUCCACCUGGGGAGUACGGCCGCAAGGU